UUAUCCUUAACUUAUUAGGAUAAUUCCCAAUUCACAUCUUAUGUGAAUCGGGUUGAAUUUGUAUGGACAAUUGUGGACAUCAUAUGUGGAUCGGGUUGAAUUUGAAUAGGUCAAUGUGGACACACCAUAUGGCAACAAUCUUCUACUUGGCCACAUUUGUCAAUUCUCUCUCAUACAUUCUACUCUUCAUACGGAUAAUGAAGUGUGUGAUCUGAUAAAAGAAACAUAAUGAAGGAGUGCUAUAUUAAGUCACCACCCAACUAACAUGGCACAUUAGUAGCUUAAUUCAUCUAUGUCCUGGAUGUUUCAAUACACAUCGGAUCAAGCAUCACAAAUUCCUCUCCUGUAAUGACAGGGCUCGACCCCACCGUCGUACUCAUGAUUAUCUCAAAUAAUAUAACCGAGAUAAUCGCCCGGGCAAUGAGUCACAAGACUUACGUGGUGUGUUAUCAAAACAUCUUCCUCAGCUCCUCAUGUUAAUCUAUCUCGGUCCAAACACUUUACUAGACAUGCUCCGCAAGAUCAUAUUUUCUCAUGACCUGAGAUGCAUGCUAAGUUAGUUACAUCGGACCUCCACUUCAUAACGUAGUUCUAAGUCGAGGGCAUAAAAGGGUUAGUGCUCACAUAGUUACAUAGAGGGAAGAACUUAUGUUACUAUACUAACUGGUUGACAAGCACAUACGAUAUGAUAUGUAUGCUAUGGCGGAGCUCCCACUCAAUGGGUCGUGUCACGCUUUAAAACGCCAUACGAAUUUUGGUCUAGGUAUCACUAAUGUAUCAAUCACUACACAACUCAAGUCAUCUCUCUAAUCCGAAUACUUAGGUUCGGCUAUUAUACAGGCUCGAUAUGGAAUUUCAUAGAAGAACUCUCAUAUCCAACUCCUUAGAGUCUCAUCUUAAACUAAUUAAGCCGACUUUUAGGUUAUAUUAACACUUUAUUCGUAAUGUA
rnacentral:lncRNA from 1 species